rnacentral:tRNA from 1 species
GCUAUAGCGUAGUUGGUUAACGCGCCAGUUUGUGGCACUGGAGACCAUCGGUUCGAAUCCGAUUAG